GCGUCUCAGGCCUGCCGACGACAAACGAGGCGACGAUAUAAAUGUGUGCCUCAAGUGUCGUUUGGUCUUUCCAGGCGGUGACUCACAGUCAGUGGAAGUGUGUGUGGCUGACAGGUGGUGCGCAACAGGAAUCCCAACCAUAAAGAAAAAAACUCGGGAAAUGAUGUCAGAAUUUCUGGAACUGGAUGAGCGGAAUCCGCAGCUUGUUAUUGUGUUGAAAGUUCUGAAAGAAAGUUCUGUAUUGAUGCUCUGAGGUAGUAGGGGUUUUUUUUUUCUUUUCACACCAAGUACCAGAAAAUGGAACAAGUGACUCUCAAACUACUACCAUCAAUGUUAAAAGUGGUCCUGUUUUAUUCCUAAAAAUUAGGGCCAGCCCAAAUAUUUGGCUGGCCGAUUUAAUUAGCUGAUAACUCUUUUAAAAGUGGCAAAAACCGACCUUUAGUUAUUCAUUUUACAUAUUAACAUUCAAACAUUCCUCCUUGGAACUACUUCCUCCCCCGCCCCCAAAAAAUUGCUGAUUUUUGCCAAAUUUUCUCUGUUGCAAAGUUAAAGACUAAAAGACAUUCAUGUAACACAGUCAAAUGCUAUGCUUGUAAUUCAUCUUUACUGUUGUACAGUAUGUGUUAAGGCGGGGGUGUCAAAUUCAAUUUUCUCAUGGGCCACUCUGGAGUGACGUCUUUGCGCAGAGGGUCAUUGAUGACAGUGAUUCCACAAAAACAUUGAAGCGUGUCAUUGCAUUAUGACUUGUACACGACAAAUUAAUGGAUUACUAGUUUUGAAAUCAGUCCAGUCAACACUAAUAGUUUGUUCGAUUAUUGUUCAAAUGCGUGU